rnacentral:tRNA from 1 species
UAUUUACAUUAUUAUAAUAUUACAAAUGCUAGUGUAGCUUAACGUAAAGCAUAACACUGAAGAUGUUAAAAUGAACCCUACAAAGUUCCACAAGCAUAAAGCUUGGUCCUGACUUUACUAUCAGC